GCGCCAUAUAUUUUGUUGACCAUGAGUCCAGAGUUCAGUUUUGAUUGAGCAGUCACUCGGAAAGGAGUGUCCCGUUUGAUCUACAUAUUUUAAAAAGUGCUUGACAAUCGGUAGCUACUGAAAGAUUUAUAUCAUUGGAAAUUUCGUGUUUUCCGUAACUCGGAAAUUUUUCCAUAAGCACUGGGUCCUACUUGACAGACGUUGACGUUGCCUAGUUCUUCGCGAUACGGUUCAACUUUCAACUACUAUCCCUACGUUGUGCUGAAAAAUUCGUACAAGGCUUUCAAUCAGUCAUCACUGUGCCUAGUUCAUCGCAGUACUUAUUCAACUUCCAACCACGAAGGGCAGGCGUUGCAUGGCAUUGCACAAUUCGUUUACAGGUACUCUGAGAUGCUGUCGCCGCAGUUAUGACCCCCUGGACUUCCCCUGUUCAUCAGGGGGAGUCCAGGGACCCGUCCCCUGGGACUGCGCGGCCUCCCACCGCCCCCGGGGUCCCAGGGGACCCAGUCCCCGAGGACUUGU